GGUUGUAGCUCAAUGGUGGAGUGCUUGCCUAACACACAGGAGGCACUAGGUUCAAUCCUCAGCACCA
rnacentral:tRNA from 1 species